rnacentral:rRNA from 1 species
UACGUAGGGUGCGAGCGUUAAUCGGAAUUACUGGGCGUAAAGCGUGCGCAGGCGGUUCGUUGUGUCGGUGGUGAAAUCCCCGGGCUUAACCUGGGAAUUGCAUUCGAGACUGCGUAGCUAGGGUGCGGAAGAGGGAAGCGGAAUUUCCGGUGUAGCGGUGAAAUGCGUAGAUAUCGGAAGGAACACCAGUGGCGAAAGCGGCUUCCUGGUCCAGCACCGACGUUCAGGCACGAAAGCGUGGGGAGCAAACAGG